rnacentral:pre_miRNA from 1 species
GUGGUACUCCCUCCGCCCCAAAAUUCUUGUCUUAGAUUUGUCUAGAUACGGAUGUACCUAAUACUAAAACGUGACUUGAUACAUCCAUAUUUAGACAAAUCUAAGACAAGAAUUUUGGGACGGAGGGAGUAUGUU